rnacentral:rRNA from 1 species
AUUGAACGCUGGCGGCAUGCCUAACACAUGCAAGUCGAACGGCAGCACAGCAGUAGCAAUACUGUGGGUGGCGAGUGGCGGACGGGUGAGGAAUACGUCGGAAUCUGCCCAGUCGUGGGGGAUAACUAGCCGAAAGGUUAGCUAAUACCGCAUACGACCGAGAGGUGAAAGCGGGGGACCGCAAGGCCUCGCGCGAUUGGAUGAGCCGACGUCGGAUUAGCUAGUUGGCGGGGUAAAGGCCCACCAAGGCGACGAUCCGUAGCUGGUCUGAGAGGAUGAUCAGCCACACUGGAACUGAGACACGGUCCAGACUCCUACGGGAGGCAGCAGUGGGGAAUAUUGGACAAUGGGCGCAAGCCUGAUCCAGCAAUGCCGCGUGUGUGAAGAAGGCCUGCGGGUUGUAAAGCACUUUUGUUCGGGAAGAAGUCAUGUCGGUUAAUACCCGAUGUGGAUGACGGUACCGAAAGAAUAAGCACCGGCUAACUUCGUG